GCCGAGGUGGCGGAAUUUGGUAGACGCGCUAGCUUGAGGGGCUAGUGGCCUUCGGGCUGUGCGGGUUCGAGUCCCGCCCUCGGCACCA
rnacentral:tRNA from 1 species